rnacentral:rRNA from 1 species
UGGGGAAUAUUGCACAAUGGGCGCAAGCCUGAUGCAGCCAUGCCGCGUGUGUGAAGAAGGCCUUCGGGUGUAAAGCACUUUCAGCGAGGAGGAAGGUGGUGAGCUUAAUACGCUCAUCAAUUGACGUUACUCGCAGAAGAAGCACCGGCUAACUCCGUGCCAGCAGCCGCGGUAAUACGGAGGGUGCAAGCGUUAAUCGGAAUUACUGGGCGUAAAGCGCACGCAGGCGGUUUGUUAAGUCAGAUGUGAAAUCCCCGGGCUCAACCUGGGAACUGCAUUUGAAACUGGCAAGCUAGAGUCUCGUAGAGGGGGGUAGAAUUCCAGGUGUAGCGGUGAAAUGCGUAGAGAUCUGGAGGAAUACCGGUGGCGAAGGCGGCCCCCUGGACGAAGACUGACGCUCAGGUGCGAAAGCGUGGGGAGCAAAACAGGAUUAGAUACCCUGGUAGUCCACGCUGU